UAACCAAGUAAUUAUGCACUAAAUAAGUGGAUUGACAAAGAAUACCAACAAAUUUAUUGUCCCAAAAAAAAACUAUAAUCAUGCACUGAAAAACAACCUUUUGUCAACAAAAGAAUGACACAAAUUUCCAUUGAUAAAGUGUAAGAUAACAGAUAGUCAGUACCUAACUUGUUUUGUAUUUUUUUUAAAGGUAACUUAAUUACUUUUUUGUAGCAAAAUGUUUUAUAAUUAGAUUCAUUUUCAUGUUGUGAAGAAUACAACUUUCUACAUCAGAUGAGAUAUAUGUUAAAGAAAGCAUUAAAAAUAAGAAUAACAAAUCAUACCGCUCUUCAUUGCCAGAACCUCCGCCACCUAUUAUGAAUAAGCCCAAUGCUAAAAAGAUGCAAAAUGUUAUUCUCAAGGAGCUUGCAGAAAUAAAAGUUCUUUUAAAAGAAGUUAUAGAAAUUAAGUUUCAGGCUACUGAGGUGAAGUUGCUAGAAUCGGUGGACGAAGUGGUUACACUGGAUAAUAAACUAAAAGAUAAAACCGAGUAUACUAAUUUGAUAGUUUUAAAAAAGAUUGGUGGUGGAAAGCCAAGAGAACAUGUUUUUUGAUUAUGUUUUUAUUAAUUAUUAGAUAUAUGAUUAAAAGGGACCAAAAGCAAUUCUUUUUGACCGUUAUUUGUUAUGGAUUUACUUUUAACAUGACAAUUUGAUAAACUCGGGAGCUUCGCUGUAGGUGUUUAAGUUUGUUUGUGUGCUAAAGUUAUUUUCGAAUCAGUUACAGUCCAAAUUAAAUCGAAAAGGAAAUAGGGAAAAGAUAAGCUUAGAAAAUCUAGUAAAUAUAUGGAGUGUUUUACGAGAUAUCGGCGACGUGGAAGAAAAUGUUGACGGCAAUGCAGAAAUAUAGUUUCUUAUGUAUAUUUUUGUGAAAUAAAAAUUAAGUAAUGUUAGUUAAAA